ACGCUCGACACCUACGGGAGGUAGCAGUGGGGAAUAUUGCACAAUGGAGGAAACUCUGAUGCAGCGACGCCGCGUGAGGGAAGAAGGUCUUCGGAUUGUAAACCUCUGUUGUCAGGGACGAUGAUGACGGUACCUGACGAGGAAGCCACGGCUAACUACGUGCCAGCAGCCGCGGUAAUCUGAGCGGGCUGGCAAGGC
rnacentral:rRNA from 1 species